rnacentral:rRNA from 1 species
AUUGAACGCUGGCGGCAGGCUUAACACAUGCAAGUCGAGCGGAGACUUCGGUCUUAGCGGCGAACGGGUGAGUAAUACCUAGGAAUCUGCCUAUUAGUGGGGGAUAACGAAUCGAAAGGUUCGCUAAUACCGCAUACGUCCUACGGGAGAAAGGGGGGAUCUUCGGACCUCUCGCUAAUAGAUGAGCCUAGGCCGGAUUAGCUAGUUGGUAGGGUAAAGGCCUACCAAGGCGACGAUCUGUAGCUGGUCUGAGAGGAUGGCCAGCCACACUGGAACUGAGACACGGUCCAGACUCCUACGGGAGGCAGCAGUGGGGAAUAUUGGACAAUGGGGGCAACCCUGAUCCAGCCAUGCCGCGUGUGUGAAGAAGGCCUCGGUUGUAAGCGACUUUAAGUACGAGGAGGAAGGUUUAGUAGGUUAAG